rnacentral:lncRNA from 1 species
GGACACCGGCCCUCCAGAACCGAGUUUGGACAGCCCUGGUCUAAAGUAUCGCUUACAAAUAGAUGAAGCAUUUGACCCUAUCAGUGGAAUGGAGAAAAGCUUCCAUUGGACCUUCAUAAUUGUCACCUAAACCUGAUUCCUACCCUCCAGCCCUGGAAUUAACAUCUGAUGUCUCAUCCACAAGAAGAUGAUUUAGGAUCCAGAUGAACCUAUUUAUGACCUUAGUCAUAGUGUCACCCAUAAACAGGUUUGAGGGAUGGGUCAUAAACUUGGCCAGAAUCGCGUCUUGGCUGCUCGUUUGGGUGGAGGUGGAAAGAAGCGCUACUGCCAGCCUGAAUGUACCUGACGACCUCAGAGACCAGAGUCAAACAGAAACAGACUGGGUGGUAUAUAGUCAUUACAGCGCACACAGAUCAAGGCUUUAUGGGAAGGGAAAAUUUCACCAGGGGCCCAGAGUUU